ensembl:rRNA 5S_rRNA 5S ribosomal RNA
GUCUCAGGCCGUAUCAGCCUGAAGGCGCCCGAUCUUGUCUGAUCUCGGAAGCUAAGCAGGGUCGGGCCUGGUUAGGAUCUUGGAUGGGAGACCACCUGGGAAUCCCGGGUGGUCGAGGCU